rnacentral:rRNA from 1 species
UACAGGGGGUGCAAACGUUGCUCGGAAUUAUUGGGCGUAAAGCGCACGUAGGCGGCCCAGCAAGUCGGAAGUGAAAUCCCACGGCUCAACCAUGGAAGUGCUUUCGAAACUGCUGGGCUUGAGUACAAAAGAGGAUCGCGGAAUUCCCGGGUGUAGAGGUGGAAAUUCGUAGAUAUCGAUCUGGAACGCGAAGGUGAAAACAGCUCGCUGGGCUGCGCUGACGCUGAGAACACGAAAGCCAGGGGAGCGAAACGGGG